UUUAAGAAAUGGUCACCAGUGAGCCCCUCCGCCUGGUUGCCGCUUGCGCUGUCCAUGGACGCCACGCCGGCCGGUUACUACCACCCACCAACCUCCACCGGAUACUACCACUCUCCUCCGACCUCCUCCCGCCACCCGUACUACUCUCUGCCUCCGGUUCAGGCUUCUCCGCCGUCUCACAGAGCUCCUCCACUCCCGUACAGCCGCACGCCGCUACCUCCGCUGCGCCAGUCCCAUCACUCCCCACCGUACGCACUUCACCGAACUCCCCCAUAUGGAGCCGCCUACGCAGCGUCUGGAGAGCUGCCUUCGUUCGACGAGGUCCGGACCCUCUUCGUAGCAGGGCUCCCUGGCGACGUGAAGGUUCGUGAAGUAUAUAACCUCUUCCGGGAGUUCCCUGGGUACUAGUCGGCACAACUCAGGAGCUCUGGACAGUCCUUUCAGGCUUAUGUAUUUUCUGUCUUUACUGAUCAACAAUCAGCGCUUGCUGCAAUGCACUCCCUAAAUGGAUUGGUGUUUGACAUUGAGAGAGAAUUGAGUAUUCACAUUGAUCUUGCGAAAUCAAAUUCUAGGUCCAAAUGCCCAAGAACAGAUGAAAACAUAUAUUCUUCUGAUAGAGGAGUUAGAGGGUCUGCAUUCUGCUGCAUAGUCAAGAGAUAUUCGAGAUUCCAGUAAUAGAAGCCAUUCUUUGCUAGCAGUUAAAGAUAGUUAUUUGGUUCACCAUCGCGGUUUGUCUGCAUUUUGUUGUAUGCAUAAUGCUACUUGAUAAUGUAACUGAGACAUACCCUACUUGAAGUUGUGGCUUUUGUAACUGACUUGCUUAUGGAUAUUCUUUUUGCAGGCACUAAUGUCUGUGAUAUUGGUUUAAAUAUUUUAGUGUAAUUCUAGAUAUAGCUGCAAUAAUUCCUCACAUGGGUACACAUUCCUCAAAAGCUCACGUUUACACGUUUACACGUCUUGGCACAAUCUUCACACUAGCAGGUGCUGGAAGCAACGCUCACAUGCUUUGAAUGAUUUAUUCUUCUUACAGUGGUUAUCCCUCCACACAAAGGUUUUGCACACAGUUUUUAUGCUUAAUUUUGCUUAUUGAAACUUGCGAAGCACAUUGGUAAUAAUACAUAGCUGCACCUAGGCUAUGGAAAUGAUGAGCAAGUAUUGAGCAUCUUAAAAUGAUUGUAGUUCAAUUGAUAUUUUCAGGCAUGACUGACAACUAUCUUGUUCCUUUAACUGCAGCAACAAACAAUUGGCUUAUGAUUCAGAGCACAAUAAUUUGGUGAGUUUUGGUUCUUUACUUUCAUCUCAAUUGUCAUAUUAUAUACUCUAGUUUCUCUUUACUUGUUAGACAAAACUUAAGCCUUGCACCUUUCUUGGCAUAAAUAGGGAUUUAAAUCAAUUUAAUUUUGGAAAGCCUGAAGGCAAUUAGGAUGAAUUUUUACUGUUGAUGGCAUCACAAAAAUGCCUUUUCUCCUUUUAAUUGUGUUGUAAUCUGUUUUAUAUGAUCACUGAAGGAGGUUAUGGUUUUUUUUUGUUUGUUUUUGUAGAUUAAGGUUAGAAGCUUAAACAAAGACCUUGUAGUCCUAGUUUUUUCAAAUUAAUGUAAAUUGUAUAUCAUCGGUUUGCUUCAGAGUUUCCGGUU